GGAUCACAAACUUGAAGUAGAGUAGAUUGGUAGCAUCAGCUGACCAUACCCCACUAUUCUACUUCAAGUUUGUGCCC
rnacentral:pre_miRNA from 1 species